rnacentral:rRNA from 1 species
CCCUUAGAUGUUCUGGGCCGCACGCGCGCUACAAUGGCAGACUCAGCGAGUUACCUCUGUCGAAAGGCACAGGGAAUCUUUACAGUAUCUGCCGUGAUGGGGAUAGACCCUUGUAAUUUUUUGUCUUCAACGAGGAAUUCCUAGUAAACGCAAGUCAUUAACUUGCAUUGAUUACGUCCCUGCCCUUUGUACACACCGCCCGUCGCACCUACCGAUUGAAUGGUCCGGUGAAGUCCUCGGACCCAGUUGAACCUCGAGUUGAACAGGGAAAGUUGACUAAAUCUUACCAUUUAGAGGAAGGUGAAGUCGUAACA